CUCCGCUGCUGUUAGCUGUCACCACGUCCAGCGAGAGUGCCAUGAUCCUCUCCUCCUCUGACUGCACGGUUUCAGCCUCAUCUACCGCCUCAAGAUCCCGACCGCGCCGUUCGUGGGAAUGGGUAUUCGGGGUUGCGGUUGACCUACAGGUUAGUCGAAUUGUCUAUUUGUUUGCAUGUGGGUGUGUGUUCACUGGUGCUCUCCUUCUUUUAUCAUUAGAUGAAAUAACUUUAUGUUAUAUGGAUUUUUCCUGUAACGAUGAUCGAUUCCAGGAUAUGUAAUGGGCUUGACGGUAGUACAGUGUUCAUGUUUGCAUUCGUUGGUAGUUAAAUUUAUUUUUGUUGGUUGGGAACUAUCAUUUGAUGUUGUAAGCACAAUUUUUUACAAGGUAAACAGGACUACUGCAUCCUCUCCCCAAAUCGUUUUUUCUUGUGGAAUACAAGGUAACCAGACUAGCUUCGCGUAUAAGUUUUGUUGAAAUAAAAGUUUUACCUCAAUGGAUAUGUAAUACUGGCAGAAGUAUGAACUAUUCUGGUAAAAAAAAAGUACCUCGGGCUGUGUUUGCAGUGUACGUAUUGAGGUUUUGAUACAUGUGCCAAUAGCUAUUUAAGCGUAGCAUUAUUUUUUCGAGAUACCUCUUGUAGUUUCUAUGUUUUAUAAAUUUGUUUGAUUGGGUGUGAGUUAUUUUAUUUAAGUGAAGAUAUAUGGAUAUAUAUAUAUCUUUAUUAUAGCUAAAUAUGCUCUUAGUUGUGGAGAUUCGGCUAUUACUUUAUUCAGCUUAAAUUACUCGUGUUUCUCAUGGAAAUCUUAUGUUUCUUCUCUUUGUAGGAUAAAUUAAGCAACGCAUCAGAUUAGUAUUUUUUUUUCAAAGGUUUAUCGUGUAUGAUCUCGCAUGAUUUUAUUGUAUGCUUAUGCUGUGUACCAACACCAAUUCAAAGGUUGCGUCUUAAUGGGGAACGAGUUCAAAGUAAAAUUCAGAGAGGAAGGGGUCAAUUUGUUCAACUUCACAAACUCACCACCUGCUACAUCCAUUUAUCUUCAUUUAUGUAGCUAAGUGGAAAUUCUCAGUCUCAACAGCCAUUCUCAUGGAUUGUGUGAAGCAAAAUAAAGCAAGUAAGAAUUUCAGAACAAUAGGCAGAACGACGAAAACGAUCGGGAAGUAGCCUAAACACCUUUUAACAAGAUUCAGCAAGCAUGUCCAUAUUAAACUGGAAGGCAAGAGUACUAUCUCACCAGGCUCCUCGGAUCCUCCCAAUAAUAUAGAGUACACACACCCAAUCUUAGGACAAGGCAGCUUUGGCAUGACAACAAUUGGGUUGCUGUUCCAAAGGUUGGUUCACUUAGAGUUGGAUAAAAGGUGCAAACUCAGGGGGGCAGUCAUCUUGUACUGAAGGACGAGGCUGUGUUGGAGGUCAAUUUGUCUCAAGGCAUGAAGAGGAACUCAUUUGUUGCAUCAGCUUUUCUUAUGCAGCGCAGUGAACUUACUAAGAAAUUUCAGACUUCUAACAGUGAUGGAAGACACCAAUAUCUUGGUCCUGAAGAUUCUCUUCAUUUGAUGGAUAAGUGGCUAAUAAUAAUGUUGAUUAUCGGAUCCUGUUGUGACAACUCAAGAUCGCGAUAUUGGUAGUCACAGCCUAUGUUGGUAGUCGCAGUCCUAACGGUAGCCCCUAUAGGCCAGCACAUCCUCAAGAUUAUGCCAGUGAAGAUAUAUGUAGUAGGAAUGAUGAUGAUGAAAUUUCUAUAUGUGUAAGAGAAUC